CUCCGUCAGGGCGUCGUCUCCCCCGGCGUGGCCGCGGUGGUCGGCCGGGCCGGAGCUGCGCGCCGUCGCGUUCCACUCGUGGACGGGGU
rnacentral:tRNA from 1 species